rfam:Parcubacteria (Giovannonibacteria) bacterium GW2011_GWC2_44_8 TW74_C0016, whole genome shotgun sequence.
GGGCCCGUAGCUCAAUUGGCAGAGCACCCGCUUUGCACGCGGGAGGUUACCGGUUCGAGGCCGGUCGGGUCCA